GAUGAACGCUAGCGAUAGGCUUAACACAUGCAAGUCGAGGGGCAGCAUGGUCUUAGCUUGCUAAGGCUGAUGGCGACCGGCGCACGGGUGCGUAACGCGUAUGCAACUUGCCUCACAGAGGGGGAUAACCCGUCGAAAGACGGACUAAUACCGCGUACACUCUAUGUUGGGCAUCCAAUGUAGAGGAAAUGAAAUUCGCUGUGAGAUAGGCAUGCGUCCCAUUAGCUAGUUGGUGAGGUAACGGCUCACCAAGGAGACGAUGGGUAGGGGAACUGAGAGGGUGAACCCCCACACUGGUACUGAGACACGGGCCAAACACAUGAGGGAGGCAGCAGUGAGGGAUAUGGGUAAAAGGGCGAGAGCCUGAACCAGCCAAGUCGCGUGAAGGAUGAAUGUCUUAUGGAAUGUAAACUUCUUUUAUAAGGGAAUAACAAGAGUCACGUGUGGCUCCCUGCAUGUACCGUAUGAAUAAGCAUCGGCUAACUCCGUG
rnacentral:rRNA from 1 species